UCAAAGGAGCCCAGAGAGAGACGAGGUAGGU
rnacentral:piRNA from 1 species